CCUUCGGGGUUAGUGGCGCACGGGUGCGUAACGCGUGGGAAUCUGCCCUUUGCUUCGGAAUAACUCAGGGAAACUUGUGCUAAUACCGGAUGAUGUCUUCGGACCAAAGAUUUAUCGGCAAGGGAUGAGCCCGCGUAGGAUUAGGUAGUUGGUGGGGUAAAGGCCUACCAAGCCGACGAUCCUUAGCUGGUCUGAGAGGAUGAUCAGCCACACUGGGACUGAGACACGGCCCAGACUCCUACGGGAGGCAGCAGUGGGGAAUAUUGGACAAUGGGCGAAAGCCUGAUCCAGCAAUGCCGCGUGAGUGAUGAAGGCCCUCGGGUCGUAAAGCUCUUUUACCAGGGAUGAUAAUGACAGUACCUGGAGAAUAAGCUCCGGCUAACUCCGUGCCAGCAGCCGCGGUAAUACGGAGGGAGCUAGCGUUGUUCGGAAUUACUGGGCGUAAAGCGCACGUAGGCGGCUACUCAAGUCA
rnacentral:rRNA from 1 species